rnacentral:misc_RNA from 1 species
UCUACACCGCGCCUGUAUCGCGGUCGGGGGGCCUCCCCCUCGUGGGAGGCCCUGUCUGAACCCUCUGUCAUUGUCGCACCUUGCGUUUCCUCGGCGGGCCCGCCCGCCAGCGAGGACCCCAACCCAAACCCAUUGCAGUGUCUUGCAGUAAACGUCCCACAAACAAAUUUAAAAUCA